UACGUAGGGCGCAAGCGUUGUCCGGAAUUAUUGGGCGUAAAGAGCGUGUAGGCGGUCCGGUAAGUCGGCUGUGAAAGUCCAGGGCUCAACCCUGGGAUGCCGGUCGAUACUGCCGGACUAGAGUUCGGAAGAGGCGAGUGGAAUUCCCCGGUGUAGCGGUGAAAUGCGCAGAUAUCGGGAGGAACACCUAUGGCGAAGGCAGCUCGCUGGGACGUUACUGACGCUGAGACGCGAAAGCGUGGGGAGCAAACAGG
rnacentral:rRNA from 1 species